AUGGCAGUCCCAAAACGCCAAUUUCUCAUGGCAGCAGCACGACGCCUAUGCCUUCCCAAAUCCACCAUCAGAGGCGUAGCAACUUGUGCUUCACUUGUUAGCACAACCCACUUAGAAAAUUCCCCAAAAUCUGAUGACACAUUUGUAGUCCAGAAAAUUUUGUGGAACCUAAAACAAGGUAAGCCAGUAACCAAGUCUUUACAUGGUUUAAACCCGUCUAUUUUUCUUGAAGUUCUGGUUGAUUGUCGUGAUAAUUUGCAUUUAGCACAGAAAUUCAUCAACUUGGUGUCUGUAAAUUGUGCUAAUUUUAAACAUUGCACGAGUUCAUUGAGUGCUACUGUACAUGUGUUGAUUAGGUCUAAGAGGGUAGCUGAUGCACAGGGUUUUAUCUUAAGGAUGAUUAGAAGAAGUGGGGUUUCAAGAAUUGAGAUUGUGGAAUCUUUGGUGUCAACUUAUGAGGUAUGCGGGUCGAAUCCAUAUGUUUUUGAUUUGCUGAUUAGGACUUAUGUACAAGCUAGGAAGAUUAGGGAGGCUGUAGAAGUAUUUAAGUUGUUGCAAAGGAGGAAUCUUUGUGUUCCGAUAAAUGCGUGUAAUGGUCUUCUAGGAGGGCUUGUGAAGAUUGGUUGGGUUGACUUGGCAUGGGAAGUGUAUGGUGAGAUGACAGGGAGUAGCAUUCAGCCAAAUGUGUAUACCCUCAAUAUAAUGGUGAAUGCUUUGUGUAAAGAUGGGAAAAUUGAAAGCACGAAUCCGUUUAUCGAAGAAAUGGAAAAGAAGGGAAUCUUUCCGGAUAUGGUGACUUACAAUACUUUGAUAAAUGCAUAUUGUCACGAGGGGCUUCUUGAAGAAGCCUAUGAAGUGAUAAACAUUAUGAAAGCUACAGGGUUAAGACCUUGUCGUUUAACUUAUAAUUCUAUUCUCAAUGGUUUGUGUAAGAAUGGACAAUACGGGAGAGCAAGGGAACUUUUGGUUGAGAUGGAAGAGAGUGGCCUGGCCCCUGAUACUACUAGUUAUAAUGCAUUUCUUGCUGAGUGCUGUAGAGCUGGUAACAUGCUGGAAGCAGAAUCUGUUUUCAAAGAAAUGUUGUGUCGAGCUAUCAUUCCUGAUUUGGUUAGUUAUAGUUCACUUAUUGGGUUGUUUUCAAGAACUGGUCGUCUCGAUCGCUCAUUGGCAUACUAUGAGCAUAUGAAACGCAAGGGUCUUACACCAGAUAAUGUAGUCUACACAAUUCUCAUUGGUGGGUUUUGUAGAAAUGGUUCUAUGAAGGAGGCUAUGAAGAUGCGUGAUGAAAUGCUGGAGCAGAGUUUAGUUAUGGAUGUGGUGACUUACAAUACUAUAUUGAAUGGGUUAUGCAAAGGAAAGAUGCUUCAUGAAGCUGAUGAGCUUUUCAAUGAGAUGUUGGAAAGAGAUGUAAAUCCUGAUUUUUACACUUUUACCACGCUUAUCAAUGGAUAUUGCAAGUUUGGUAACAUGGAGAAAGCACAGACCCUGUUUGAAGCCAUGCUACUGAGAAACCUCAAGCCUGAUGUUGUGACAUAUAACAGCUUGAUUGAUGGAUUUUGUAAGGUUGGUGAUAUGGAAAAAGCUUUCAGUUUAAGGGAUGAGAUGAUCUCUGUAAAUAUUUCUCCUAAUUAUAUUACUUAUAGUAUUCUCAUAAAUGGCUUUUGUAAUAAGGGUCGUGUAUCUGAUGCAUUAAGACUAUGGGAUGAUAUGAUCAUCCUAGGUAUCAAACCUACUAUCGUGACUUGCAACUCUAUUAUCAAGGGAUAUUGCAGGUCUGGUGAUGCUUCAAGGGCAGCUAAGUUUCUGAACAAGAUGCAGUCCCAAGGACUAUUUCCUGAUUCAAUUACGUAUAAUACUCUUCUUGAUGGGCUUAUAAGAGAGGAGAAUAUGGAUAAAGCGUUAGAUUUGGUUAAUGAAAUGGGAAAACAAGGUAUGUCACCUGAUGUUAUUAGCUAUAAUACCAUACUGGAUGGUUUCUGUAAAUUUGGUAGAAUGCAGGAAGCGAACAUGCUGUAUCGGAAAAUGGUUGAGAGGGGUAUUAACCCUGACAGAUACACAUAUACAUCAUUGAUCAAUGGACAUGUCUCUCAGGAUAACUUGAAGGAGGCUUUUCGUUUCCAUGAUGAAAUGCUGCAGAGGGGUUUCAUUCCUGAUGACAAGUUUUAAUCACCUUGCUGUUUGAGCCCACUGAAGUGUAUGACGUCAAUUUCUGCCGUUUCUGGAAUUGCUAGCUAAUGUGAAAUAUGCUUGAUUGAUUUGAGGAGAACUAUGGAGAAAUCACUUGCUGGAACAGAAACUUAUGGGUGCUCAACUGGACAUCUGCUCUCUAAGGAACUGUGUAUUAGUGAGAUAUUACCCAGACAGAGAGCGGUGCUUCUUCAGACCCCUCACUUGUUGCCAUCUGUAUAUCUUGAUUGGCUAAAGAGAGAG